rnacentral:rRNA from 1 species
GAGCAACAGAUAAGGAGCUUGCUCCUCCGACGUUAGCGGCGGACGGGUGAGUAACACGUGGAUAACCUACCUAUAAGACUGGGAUAACUUCGGGAAACCGGAGCUAAUACCGGAUAACAUAUUGAACCGCAUGGUUCAAUAGUGAAAGGCGGCUUUGCUGUCACUUAUAGAUGGAUCCGCGCCGUAUUAGCUAGUUGGUAAGGUAACGGCUUACCAAGGCAACGAUACGUAGCCGACCUGAGAGGGUGAUCGGCCACACUGGAACUGAGACACGGUCCAGACUCCUACGGGAGGCAGCAGUAGGGAAUCUUCCGCAAUUGGGGCGAAAGCCUGACGGAGCAACGCCGCGUGAGUGAUGAAGGUCUUCGGAUCGGUAAACUCUGUUAUCAGGGAAGAACCAAAUGUGUAGUAACUGUGCACAUCUUGGACGGUACCUGAUCAGAAAGCCACGGCUAACUACGUGCCAGCACCCCGGUAAUACGUAGUGGCAAGCGUUAUCCGGAAUUAUUGGGCGUAAAGCGCGCGUAGGCGGUUUCUUUAAGUCUGAUGUGAAAGCCCACGGCUCAACCGUGGAGGGUCACUUGGAAACUGGAAAACUUGAGUGCAGAAGAGGAAAGUGGAAUUCCAUGUGUAUGCGGUGAAAUGCGCAGAGAUAUGGAGGAACACCAGUGGCGAAGGCGACUUUCUGGUCUGUAACUGACGCUGAUGUGCGAAAGCGUGGGGAUCAAACCAGGAUUAGAUACCCUGGUAGUCCACGCCGUAAACGAUGAGUGCUAAGUGUUAGGGGGUUUCCGCCCCUUAGUGCUGCAGCUAACGCAUUAAGCACUCCGCCUGGGGAGUACGACCGCAAGGUUGAAACUCAAAGGAAUUGACGGGGACCCGCACAAGCGGUGGAGCAUGUGGUUUAAUUCGAAGCAACGCGAAGAACCUUCACCAAAUCUGGACAUCCUUGACCGCUCCUAGAGU